GCCGGCAUAGCUCAAUUGGCAGAGCAGCUACCUUGUAAGUAGCAGGUCAGGGGUUCGAGCCCCCUUGCCGGCU
rnacentral:tRNA from 1 species